rnacentral:rRNA from 1 species
GACGAACCGUGCGAACGUUGUUCGGAAUCACUGGGCUUAAAGGGUGCGUAGGCGGGUUGUCCAGUCUGGGGUGAAAUCCCACGGCUCAACCGUGGAAUUGCCUCAGAUACUGACGACCUCGAGGGAGGCAGGGGCGAGCGGAACUGUGGGUGGAGCGGUGAAAUGCGUUGAUAUCCACAGGAACUCCGGUGGCGAAGGCGGUUCGCUGGACCUCUUCUGACGCUGAGGCAAGAAAGCUAGGGGAGCAAACGGG